CGCCGUUUCUUUGUCUGAUUUGGAGGGCCCACUUUUUCAGUACUGUUCAAAAAUUGAGAAUCACACCUCUCCGUUUUCUGAGCAUUCCAUUUUCUCUUCGUCUUCCCCCCCUCGACGCUUUGCUCCGCGACACACCCAAGGCGAUUUCGUCGGCGCGGCGGCGUUUUGGUCCGGCGAACUCGCACUUCUCGAUAUAGAGUGCUGCCGAAGGAUAAAGACUUCUGUUCUCAUGCUGAAUGUAUCGAUGGGGAUAAUGAUGAUGAUUUCAAUAUGAACUCUGAAGAAAACAUAGCUUCUUUGGAUCCACAUUUGUCAGAGGAUGAGAUUGAUGAAGCUGAACCAGUGAAGACUUACAUGCAUUUCAUACAGUUGCCACCUAGACCUACUAUGAAUCCUUGGCAUAGGAAAUGGUGAUCGAGCAGCACGCCAGGGCCAUUUGGAGGUCUGCAGGUACUAGGUUGAGGAACUAGGGUGUGAUCCAAAUAUGGCUACAAGUUGAGGCUCAUGUGAAGGUUCUUUUUAGCUUCUUUAUGCUUCUGAAAAUUGUGCAACAACGUUUGUAGCCUCUGCACAGUCAGCCUACUAGCAAUAGUGUGGAUGGUUUUGUCCGGAAACUUUUUGUAUGGAGUCAUCCCUUCUCCAUAUCCAAGAUAUGGUCACUUUUGCACCCACCUAUACUUUGGGUCACUUCAAGGAAAUAGACCAACUGAUAAAAUUUCAGAAGUGAUUAGCCUCAUGUAGUCUCUUGCUGUCUUUUGAGUACAAAAAGAGACACUUGAAUCAAUGCUUAUUGGUCUCUUUAUCUUUACUAGCCCAUAGUGAGUUCUUUUGUUCGAAAUUGUUUCUUAGAGACCUUAGUAGAAAUGAACUAGUGGGGCUGGUUCCUCAUAUACUUGGCAACCUAUCCUACACAGGCAAACUAUUAGCAUCAUCAACAAAAUUCUUCUUUCCCAAAGCUAUAACAUGAUUGGUUUUUGCAAUAACAUUGGUCUUCGGUGUAGUUAAAGUCACAAACCAGAAGAGUAUUGUUCACAAAUAGCAGCCAAAACAUUUCAGGUGA